rnacentral:rRNA from 1 species
GCCGUAGCUAACGCUUUAAGUACCCCGCCUGGGGAGUACGGCCGCAAGGCUAAAACUCAAAGGAAUUGACGGGGCCCCGCACAAGCGGCGGAGCAUGCGGAUUAAUUCGAUGCAACGCGUAGAACCUUACCUGGGUUUGACAUGGAUCGGGAGUGCUCAGAGAUGGGUGUGCCUCUUUUGGGGUCGGUUCACAGGUGGUGCAUGGCUGUCGUCAGCUCGUGUCGUGAGAUGUUGGGUUAAGUCCCGCAACGAGCGCAACCCUUGUUCACUGUUGCCAGCACGUUAUGGUGGGGACUCAGUGGAGACCGCCGGGGUCAACUCGGAGGAAGGUGGGGAUGACGUCAAGUCAUCAUGCCCCUUAUGUCCAGGGCUUCACGCAUGCUACAAUGGCUGGUACAGAGAGUGGCGAGCCUGUGAGGGUGAGCGAAUCUCGGAAAGCCGGUCUCAGUUCGGAUUGGGGUCUGCAACUCGACCUCAUGAAGUCGGAGUCGCUAGUAAUCGCAGAUCAGCAACGCUGCGGUGAAUACGUUCCCGGGGCUUGUACACACCGCCCGUCAAGUCAUGAAAGUUGGUAACACCCGAAGCCGGUGGCCUAACCGUUGUGGGGGAGCCGUCGAAGGUGGGACUGGUGAUUAGGACUAAGUCGUAACAA